rnacentral:misc_RNA from 1 species
GAAUCGCGAUAGGAAUUGCGAAUUGCAGAAUUCAGUGAAUCAUCGUAACUUUGAACGCAAACUGCGCUUGGGGGUUGACCCUGAGCAUGCCUCUUUGAGUGUCGGUCAAACCAUCCUGUUGGUUUUCCACAGGGAUCUGAGAGUCUAGACGUCUCUCCAAGUAUGUGUAGCACCCUAACGGGUUGUGUCGCGUUGGCUAGUGCCUGGUCUCAUGCGAGUGGAGAUGAAUGUUUUCACAAGCGAUCAUGUGCUGUCGGCUGCGGCUCGUGCUCUGCAGUGUACACCGAGUUUCGACUCUUUGUACCCAUACUUUGACCAUCGACCUCAAAUGAGGUAGGAUUACCCGCUGAACUUAA